rnacentral:rRNA from 1 species
CACAAACCUAUGAAACCUGUUUAGAAUGUUGAAUCAGGUCCUUUUGUACCUAUAAAGUUAAAUAUACAACUUUCAGCAACGGAUCUCUUGGCUCUCGCAUCGAUGAAGAACGCAGCGAAAUGCGAUAAGUAAUGUGAAUUGCAGAAUUCAGUGAAUCAUCGAAUCUUUGAACGCAUCUUGCGCUCCUUGGUAUUCCGAGGAGCAUGCCUGUUUGAGUGUCAUCUAAGUCCUCAAGCCACAUUGAUUGUUUUCGGUGUGGCUUGGAUGUGGGGGUUUCUUUUUUGCAGGCUUUAGAAAUGAAGUCCGCUCCCCUGAAAUGCAUUAGUGGUAUCUGAGCAGAAGAACUACUACAGGUGUGAUAAUAUAUCUAUGCCUUGGUAAUGCUGCAUGGACAGAUUGCGCCGCUUCCAACAAGAAUUUAUUAUUUUUGGAGACCUCAAAUCAGGUAGG